rnacentral:sRNA from 1 species
AUACAUCGCCGGGGUGUUAUUCUCCUCCUCCCAUUCCCUCGGUGAUACAAGACCGGAUAUCCUCCUCCCAAGUCCGGUCUUCCCCCCCACUAAAACACCCSYCSSUYGCUUCCUCCCGCGACGGGUGUUUUCG